rnacentral:rRNA from 1 species
AACGAACGCUGGCGGCAUGCCUAACACAUGCAAGCCGAACGAGACCUUCGGGUCUAGUGGCGCACGGGUGCGUAACGCGUGGGAACCUGCCCUUAGGUUCGGAAUAACUCCCCGAAAGGGGUGCUAAUACCGGAUAAUGUCUUCGGACCAAAGAUUUAUCGCCUUUGGAUGGGCCCGCGUUGGAUUAGCUAGUUGGUAGGGUAAAAGCCUACCAAGGCGACGAUCCAUAGCUGGUCGGAGAGGAGGAUCAGCCACACUGGGACUGAGACACGGCCCAGACUCCUACGGGAGGCAGCAGUGGGGAAUAUUGGGCAAUGGGCGAAAGCCUGAUCCAGCAAUGCCGCGUGAGUGAUGAAGGCCUUAGGGUUGUAAAGCUCUUUUACCCGAGAUGAUAAUGACAGUACCGGGAGAAUAAGCUCCGGCUAACUCCGUG